rnacentral:rRNA from 1 species
CCGACGGUGAGAGGUGAAACCCUGGGGCGCAAACCGGAUUAGAUACCCGGGUAGUCCAGGGCGUAAACGCUGCAGGCUUGGUGUUGGGGGCCCUACGUGGGCGCUCAGUGCCGGAGUGAAGAUGUUAAGCCUGCCGCUUGGGGAGUAUGUCCGCAAGGAUGAAACUUAAAGGAAUUGGCGGGAGAGCACAGCAACGGGAGGAGCGUGCGGUUCAAUUGGAUUCAACGCCGUAAAACUCACCGGGAGC